rnacentral:rRNA from 1 species
UACGAACUGUGCGAACGUUAUUCGGAAUCACUGGGCUUACAGGGUGCGUAGGCGGCUUAGCAAGUCAGGUGUGAAAUCCCCAGGCUCAACCUGGGAACUGCGUCCGAUACUGGAUGGCUUGAAUCCGGGAGAGGGAUGCAGAAUUCCAGGUGUAGCGGUGAAAUGCGUAGAUAUCUGGAGGAAUACCGGUGGCGAAGGCGGCAUCCUGGACCGGCAUUGACGCUGAGGAGCGAAAGCCAGGGGAGCAAACGGG